AAUCUUCGUAUUUGAUCGCUUAUCAAUUCCUUUUUUCAUCAGGAAUUCCCAAAACAUCAAAUACUGGUGAGAAAGGUCCCCCUCUCAGUGCCAUGAUUUCCAUAGCAACCGCUGUACCAGUCAUUAUAAUUGUUGGUGUUGGCAUCUUUUGUUUGAGGAAACAAAGAAUACACAGGCAAAAAACGCCUAACACCAAUGGACAUUCCAAUCCAGCGUAUGAAGAUCCAAUGAGUAAGAAUAGAAUCUAUGAUGAAAUUGCAGAAUUGCAAGUUUCAAGGCCUCCUUCUCAUUAUCAGUCACUUAACAUGAACAAUCAAUCUCGUAUUUACGCGGAGCUUCAGAACUGUCACUCGGAAGCUUAGAGAACCGGUUCGACGACCUAACUUUAACUUUGUUGAAAUCACUCUCUUAACUACAGUCUUACGUACACUAGUUUUUAGACAACGAUAUAAAACAUAGUCACGAGUAAUGAAGAGAUUCGAUAUGCAAACUUCCUGGCGCUUACACAGCCAUAGGGGUCUGGGAAGAGUACGUAUCUUAAGCAAUGAUGGCGAAUCGAUUGUUGUUGGGACGACGGCCAUUUUUUUACCGGACAUGUAAGUGAAUAAUCCAUUGAAUUGAAUUUUUAAAUGACUACUUCCCGUUAAAAACUUACUCAGUGUUAGAGGGAGAGGGAUUAGGGAUUAAACAUCACUUUUAUUUCGCAACCUUAGACUUGACCGCACAAAAUAAACAAUUGUACUCUGUGCAAUAUAUCAAGGGGUUCCCCAGAGGAUUACUUGAUCUUGUUAAACAGUGUUUAUAUUCGAAAUAGCCGCCAUUCAACCGUGAAACUGCCUCUGUAAACAUUUCAAAUUCAUCUCUUGAACAGUGUAGUGCGUAAUAAUCAGAAAUGCAUUUGAAGUGUCAUGUAUAGUUACGAAUUCAGAAUAAAAUGUUUAUUCUUUGUG